CUUAACAGCCAUAUCACCCUGCAGCCCAAGACCGGUUACUCACUGAAGCUAAGCAGGGCUGAGCCUGGUCAGUACCUGGAUGGAAGAACACAUGGGAAAAAACUAGGUUGCUGUUGGAA
rnacentral:rRNA from 1 species